rnacentral:lncRNA from 1 species
GGUUUUUGGUGGUUUUUCUAAGAACAAAGAUGAUCUGCCUCCUGGUGGCUUACAGAGUAAUAAAACAUAGGUUUAGAAAAUAAAAACGUGCAUAAUGAAAUGACCAAAAUGCCCUUGAGAAAUCACAAGUUCGAGCAGAAACAAAACACGGAGCGACCUCAGCCCGUCGCUCCGACAAGUCGCUCCAGGCUUCGGGAGCGACCUCGCUGUGUCGCUGCGAGAGGUCGCUCCGGGCUCG